rnacentral:lncRNA from 1 species
UCUUUAUCCAAAUAUGCAAAAGGGAACAAGCAAUAUCAGCUUAAAGGAAAGAAAGAGCAAUAUCAGCUCACCCACACCUUUAGACCAUGGCUUUUGAUGCUACUGUCAGAACUCAUCUCAAGAAGCAAAACACCUGUUACAUUUCCCAAGCCUUUCUGUUUUUGUCUCUCCCCUAAUAGACUAUCACCAGCAAAGAAUUUUCUGAGCAAAUGUGUACUGGAGACCUUCUGAGGAACCCACUAGAGCCUGCACAUCCCCUUUUCCUAGCAAGGUCAACUGGAAAACAGUUUGCCAACUGUUUUGAAAGUAUUAGCUAAUUUAAGCCUUAUAACAACCCUGUUAUAUCUAUCUUUCAGAAAUUCAGCAAGGUUAAGUGACUUGCCCAAAAUCAGAGCUGAAACUCUAUUUCUCUUCCUCCAAAUCCAGUGUUCUUUCCAAGAUAACGUGCAACUUUCCUUUGGAAUGAUCAGCAGAAUGUCAAAUAAGGAAAGGACAUGUAGAGUUCAUGGGAGGAGACAUUACUUCUGGCUGCAGAAUUAUGGAGGCUUUAUGGGAGACGCCGUAUAUUUUAUCUGUGCGCCUUGAUCACGUGUCUGACCAUGGACAGAGAAACCAGCCUAAUGAGCCUUCUUUACAGGUGACCCUCUAGCCCUUGGUGAACAUCUUGUUUUUAUUCUUUCUUAAUUCCAACACUUAUUCUUGACAACUUUACAAAUGAACAAAUCUUAUUUACUAAAUUGUUGAUGUAGUUUUUGUCUAACACAGGGCUGAUUUUACCCUUGAGAGACGGACACAAGGCUUCAUUUAGGGGAGGAUUAGGUUUGAUGUUUAUUCACUGCACGAGGCAGAUUGGUUUUAGAGACAUGGGUUACAGUCUUGGCUUUUCCUGUUACUGCUUUUGGGUCUUUAGAUGAACAUUUUGCUUUCUCUAGACUCCUUCUUUAUAUAUAAAACAACUACAUCUUUGGACCUAUAAUAACUGUUGGUGGUCUCCAAUGAGACAAGGAUAUGAGGGUGCUUUGUGAAUGGCUACCCAAAUGUAAAAUAUUAUUAUUAUUAUUAUCAUUCAGUAUUAUAAAAUAUUGAUAAAAAUAUUGUCUAGAUUUUUCAGACAUCUUAGAAGUCUUCUUUUUCUUCAGGGAAAAAGAGAACCCUAAAUAUCAAUUAUAAUCAGAAUUUCACAGCAAGUAAAAAUACCUGUGUGUUAAUGAAAUUAAUCCUUAAUGAACCAGAUGACAAUGACUAUUUGAUAUCUGACCUUAAUUUUUUAAACCAGGCAUCAAAACACUUAGAAGUGGGUAGGCAGGGUGAGUACAGAAGAGGAGUGGUGGAAUUCCCUUUACUGUAGGUUAGUUGGAAAGAGAGAAUCAAGAUUCAUAUGACUCUCAGGCAAAAAGAGUGGGAAGAGAUAGACUGAAAUCUCCAUAUUCACAGGUAAGAACAGACAUUUCUUGGCCCAAAUGAUAAAGCAAUGUUCAGCUCUUCUAGUCAAGUCGCCCAUACUGUGGAAUUCCAAGGAAACAGUCUUCACUCCUGUUAAGUGAUAUUCCUGGCCAUUGUCAAUGCGCAAGUCCCACAACAAGGCAGAGACAUUCAUGCUCUUCAUUAACAUUCCCCUAAGGUCUCAGUUUGCAUCUCUCUAUCCAUCUCCUAGCUCUGAAAGGAAGUUUCCUGGGAAACCUUUUCUAUGAAUGGAAUGGAUGAGGUUUGUCCCAUGAGGGAAGAAUUAAAAAAAAAAAAAACAAAAAACACACAGACACACACAACAACAACACAGUACAACAAAAAAACUUCUUUCCCACUGCAGCCAGGAGCAGAUUACGCCUAUCUUUUUUCAAGGACAGGUGGAAAUUCUGACCAUGUGGUAUUCAGUCAUACUAGGAAUGUUGCUCUCUCAAUUUAACAGGAGAGCUUCCUUUCUUACUGAUUAAAAAAGUCAAAAGGGGUUUAAAAUUGCUUAGGUAAAAAGAACUAUGGUUGAGUUUUCUCAGCCACAGAUAAACAUUGGCUCUUUCUGAUCUGCUCUGUUGUCAGCUAUGUAAUGACUCAGUUUGUGCAUUGUUCUCCUUGUUCAGAACAGAAGGGAGAGUAAACCUUAUCCACAGGCUCCUGUUACAAGUAGACCUUCCCCUUCCAUCAGAGGUGGGCUUUGUGCGACACAGUCAGGACAUUCACAAAUUAAAAGAUGAAGAACAGCCCACAUUUUCACCAGCUAUUGAUAUUCCCUAUCCCAGUAAACCAUGGGUUUUCGUCUGAGUAUUUUUUUCCAACUUAAAGAGAGAGAGAGAAAGAGAGAAUAUGUAGGCUAACCAGCUCUAUUGCUAACAAAAGAAAUAGUUAAGAGAGGAAAACAACCAGGGAUGAAAAUCAGGCUUUUAUUUGAAUCUUCUUGCUUCUUUUCAGCACCAGCUUCCUGGCUAACUUGAGCAUCCUAUUCCUGAGCUGGUUGAAAUAUGCCUUUUUUAAAAAAACAACUUUAAUGAGAUAUAAUUUACAUACCAUAAAAUUCAUCUGUUUAAAGUAUGGGACUCAAUGGACCCAGUGGUUUUUAGUAUAUUUAUAGAUUUGUUCAACCAUUACCAUAAUCAAUUUUAUAACAUUUUCAUCAAUCCAAAAGGAAGCCCAGUACCCAUUUGCUGACACUCCCCAUUCUCCCCACUCCACCACCAGCCCUAAGCAGCCACGAAUCUACCUUCUGUCUCUAGAGAUUUGUCUAUUGGAUCUUUCAUACAGAAGCAUGCAAUAAUGUGAUUUGUUUGUUUGUUUUGUUUUUCUCAUGUUUUUUAUUUCUUUAUUUUUUUUAUUAUACUUUAAGUUUUAAGGUACAUGUGCACACGUGCAGGUUAGUUAGAGUGAGAACAUGCGGUGUUUGGUUUUUUGUCCUUUAGAUAGUUUGCUAAGAAUGAUGGUUUCCAGCUUAAAUGUGAUCUUUUAUGACUGGUUUCUUUCACACAGAAUAAUGUUUUCAAGGUUCAUCCAGGCUGUAGCAGCACUUCAUUUCUUUGUAUUGCCAAAUACUAUUCCAUUGUGUGACUAUAACACAUUUUAUGUACCCUUUCAUCUUUUGAUUGACAUUUGGGUUGUUCCCACUUUUUGACACUUAUGAAUAAUGAUGUUGUGAAUAUUCGUGUAUAAACUUUUGUGUGGACAUAUAUUUUCAUUUCUCUUUGGUAUUGACCUAAUAGUGGGAUUGCAAGGUUGUGUGUUUAACACUAUGUUAAAUAUUUUUAGGAAGCCCCAAGCUGUUUUCCAAAGUGGUUGUACCAUUUUACAUUCUCACCAGCAAUGUACCAGGGUAAGACUUAUUUGCAAUUUUCUCCUGCUUAUAGAAUUCUAAAGCUAUGUAAAAGGUUAGAAAUGUAACAGGUGGGUCAUUUUGAUACUUAUUUAGAAAGCCUACUUUUUCUUUCCAAACUACAAACAUUUCUGUUGUCUAAUGAGCAGAUGCUACCAGCUAAUGAAGCAGGAAUACUAAUUUCUUAUUUGAUUCAUAAUAAUAUUCAGUAAUUACAGAGGAAUCUUUACUUAUCUAGCUUUCUGUGUAUAUGUGUUCUACAGUACUAAUUUUUCUUUCUUUUCUUUUAAAAAUUCACCUUCCUUACUGCUUUGUUAUUUAAUGAUUUGUUCUGAUUAUAGACCAUUAAUGCCUGUUUAAAAAAAAAGUCCACAUGUGCAUUUCAAUACCUCUUUUAUUUUAUACUGAUUCAAAGCAAUUCAAUUCUUCAUUCCUAAAAACAUUUAGGCUGAGGCAUAAAAUAGCCAAUUUAAACGAAGUAACAUUUAGUCUUUGAAAUUGCCGUAUAUGUAUUCUUCAUUUAUGCCUACCUGAAAAUGUCAGGUAUGAAAUGAAUUUUAGUGACUCAAUUGUUAUUCUAUAGGCAAAUCCUUAUCUUAUAAACAUACUAGAUAACUUUAUAAGAUAAAUCUGUUUCUAAGACAAAAUUUGUCCAUAAUUCUGAAUUUCUUUCUUUCUUUAUUUACUUAAUGAAAAGGAUGUUUCAUGAACCUUCUAAUUCUUUCCUACUGUGGAUGUUAGUUGGCAUUUUGUAUUGAAUUUCAACAUUUGAGAAUAAGUCAUGGGUCCAGCUAAUCUGCAUAGACCAAUUUGGAGCAGCAUCCUUAAUGAGUGGUGAACUUUCUCUGUUCUCCAGACAAUAUCAACUCUGCCACUUGAAACCAAGGCUUCUAAUGACAUGAACUGAAGGAAAAGUCUUGAUUUCAGAUUUUUGUUUGGCCUGUUUCAUCUCCAUUUGCCGACCCUGGAUUACGCAGAUAGUGCACUGCUUUUAGUAAUCUAGGCCCUUGUGCCAGACCUUGACUGUCAUACUGCAUUAUAACUGAUGGUUCAAAUGCUUCUUUUACAUAAGGAGUAUUUUCUUCCCAGAGAUACCUCUAAGAUAUUCAUGGCUAACUAAAAAUACUCCUGAAUGCUGUUCUCAAGUAGAGUUUCAAGGUCAACAUGAAAAUUGUUAUCACUCUCUUAUGUGACAUAAAAAAAUCUGUUUUAUCUUUGUAACAAUGCUUUCAUUAAAAAAAAAAAAAAGCUUUGCAAUUCCUCUGCUACACUAGUGUUUUCUCAGAUACCAAACAGGCUAUGCCUUGAUGGCAAGAAGAACAAGUUAUGAUUAUUUAUAUGCCAGUGUGCACUUGUUUCCAUCUAGAGUUAUAAACAAUUAGUUUAUGAUAAUCAAUUGUGACAGCAAAAAGGAUUUCUACUCCACUAGCUUAUAUUUCUAAUAACAGAGAAACAGAAGUAAUUUUGAUAAUGUCUUACGUGUCCAGUGAAGUAAUUUCCCUGUUACUGGCUUUUAGCAAGAAUUUAUAAUUAAAUCAGAGAGAAAAAAACACUGGCAGCCAACAUUGUGUCACAUUUAUUUCAAGU